CGGGACACGUGGUAUCCUGUCUGAAUAUGGGGGGACCAUCCUCCAAGGCUAAAUACUCCUGACUGACCGAUAGUGAACCAGUACCGUGAGGGAAAGGCGAAAAGAACCCCGGCGAGGGGAGUGAAAAAGAACCUGAAACCGUGUACGUACAAGCAGUGGGAGCACGCUUAGGCGUGUGACUGCGUACCUUUUGUAUAAUGGGUCAGCGACUUAUAUUCUGUAGCAAGGUUAACCGAAUAGGGGAGCCGAAGGGAAACCGAGUCUUAACUGGGCGUUAAGUUGCAGGGUAUAGACCCGAAACCCGGUGAUCUAGCCAUGGGCAGGUUGAAGGUUGGGUAACACUAACUGGAGGACCGAACCGACUAAUGUUGAAAAAUUAGCGGAUGACUUGUGGCUGGGGGUGAAAGGCCAAUCAAACCGGGAGAUAGCUGGUUCUCCCCGAAAGCUAUUUAGGUAGCGCCUCGUGAAUUCAUCUCCGGGGGUAGAGCACUGUUUCGGCAAGGGGGUCAUCCCGACUUACCAACCCGAUGCAAACUGCGAAUACCGGAGAAUGUUAUCACGGGAGACACACGGCGGGUGCUAACGUCCGUCGUGAAGAGGGAAACAACCCAGACCGCCAGCUAAGGUCCCAAAGUCAUGGUUAAGUGGGAAACGAUGUGGGAAGGCCCAGACAGCCAGGAUGUUGGCUUAGAAGCAGCCAUCAUUUAAAGAAAGCGUAAUAGCUCACUGGUCGAGUCGGCCUGCGCGGAAGAUGUAACGGGGCUAAACCAUGCACCGAAGCUGCGGCAGCGACGCUUAUGCGUUGUUGGGUAGGGGAGCGUUCUGUAAGCCUGCGAAGGUGUGCUGUGAGGCAUGCUGGAGGUAUCAGAAGUGCGAAUGCUGACAUAAGUAACGAUAAAGCGGGUGAAAAGCCCGCUCGCCGGAAGACCAAGGGUUCCUGUCCAACGUUAAUCGGGGCAGGGUGAGUCGACCCCUAAGGCGAGGCCGAAAGGCGUAGUCGAUGGGAAACAGGUUAAUAUUCCUGUACUUGGUGUUACUGCGAAGGGGGGACGGAGAAGGCUAUGUUGGCCGGGCGACGGUUGUCCCGGUUUAAGCGUGUAGGCUGGUUUUCCAGGCAAAUCCGGAAAAUCAAGGCUGAGGCGUGAUGACGAGGC
rnacentral:rRNA from 1 species